GUUGGCAGAGGCUGAAGAGGUCGAGGCACCAGGUUGUGACCCUGGCCCGAUGUUCGGGAAAGCGGGUUCGAGUCCCGUCUGUCACCCCA
rnacentral:tRNA from 2 species